rnacentral:rRNA from 1 species
GACGAACGCUGGCGGCGUGCUUAACACAUGCAAGUCGAACGAAGAGCGAUGGAAGCUUGCUUCUAUUAAUCUUAGUGGCGAACGGGUGAGUAACGCGUAAUCAACCUGCCCUUCAGAGGGGGACAACAGUUGGAAACGACUGCUAAUACCGCAUACGAUCUAAUCUCGGCAUCGAGACUGGAUGAAAGGUGGCCUCUAUUUAUAAGCUAUCACUGAAGGAGGGGAUUGCGUCUGAUUAGCUAGUUGGAGGGGUAACGGCCCACCAAGGCGAUGAUCAGUAGCCGGUCUGAGAGGAUGAACGGCCACAUUGGGACUGAGACACGGCCCAGACUCCUACGGGAGGCAGCAGUGGGGAAUCUUCCGCAAUGGACGAAAGUCUGACGGAGCAACGCCGCGUGAGUGAUGACGGCCUUCGGGUUGUAAAGCUCUGUUAAUCGGGACGAAUAGUUCUUGUGCGAAUAGUGCGAGGAUUUGACG